AUGGAUAGCUUAUUUUCUUUGUUGUAUAUACUUUGUAGUUUCAAUGAUGAGACAUAUAUGUCAACUAUGGGUGUUGGCUCCAACAAUUCUCAUUGGUCUCAAACCAAUGAGAAGCAUUUCGAUGAUCAUGAGUUUGAGGUGGACGAGGAUGGUGAGGGUAUCGUCGAUGCACCGAAAGGAAGAGGGGUCAACUACACCAUGGACGAAGACAUCUUGCUAUGCAAUACUUGGUUGCAAGUGUCGAGGGAUCCUGCCGUUGGAGGGGAUCAAAGUAGAGAUGCAUAUUGA
rnacentral:rRNA from 1 species